CCAAGGUAUGCCUCCAGCACAGAAGAAAAAGUGGACAUGGAGAAGAUGAAAAAUGUAAAGCAGAAGAGCUGAAAUGACCUCUUUAGAUGAAUCCAAGAGAGCCAAAAGAUAUGCCAAUGAUUAUGAUGGUGCUCACUGCUCAAGCCUUCAGAGCAUAUCAGGGAUUACUUGUUACCACAGCAACCACCAUAAAAACAGACAUUUUUCUAUCAACUGCAAAAAAGCAUUCAAGUACAACCCAAUAUGCAUGUCCCACUAACAGUGUCAUAGCAGGUAUUAUCAGUUACCACGACAACCACAAGAAGGACCCCAGAUUUGCUUUCAGAUGCUGCAAUGCAUUUGACCACCAACACAGGUACUGCAGGUAUUUGAACUCCUUUGAUGGAUACCUCAGUUGACUACCUUGCUGGAGUCUCCUACCACGACAACCAUCGAGAGUAAAGAGCUUUCUCAUUUCCUUUCCUUGGGUGGAUUUCUCAGUUUUAUUAAGACUUUAAAAACCAAUUGUUAAUGUUGUUAGUUAUUGACUGAAGAUUAAAUGAGAGUAUUUUAUGUAAUUGAAAGAUUUCCAAACUUCACGAUGGUUGGAUUGUUGAUUACUCCACCGUAGGCUACUAGAGUAUUAUCUGUAUAAAGUAAAUUGAUAAAAACUGUGAGUAAAAGGUUAAAUUGUUUUUUUUUUCUUCAUAAGGAUUGUCGCUUCAAAUUCUAUGUCUGCGUAAAAUUACAUUAUCUGAAGAAG